rnacentral:rRNA from 1 species
CACCGAGGUGGCUUCUUAAGUCGGAUGUAAAAUCUCCUGGCUCAACUGGGAGGCGCCAUUCGAAACUGAGGAGCUUGAGUCCAGCAGGGGAAAGUGGAAUUCCCGGUGUAGUGGUGGAAUGCGUAGAGAUCGGGAGGAACACCAGUGGCGAAAGCGGCUUUCUGGGCUGCGACUGACACUCUAGUGCGAAAGCGUGGGGAGCAAACA